ACAAAGAAGAGUUUGAUCCUGGCUCAGGAUGAACGCUAGCGGCAGGCUUAACACAUGCAAGUCGAGGGGCAGCGCGCGGGUAGCAAUACCUGUGGCGGCGACCGGCGGAAGGGUGCGUAACACGUGAGCAACCUGCCCGCGUCCGGGACAUAACCGGUGGAAACGCCGACUAAUUUCCCAUAACACUACUCCCCGCAUGGGGAGUGGUUGAAAGACACGUCGGACGCGGAUGGGCUCGCGGGGCAUUAGCUAGUCGGUGCGGUAACGGCGCACCGAGGCGACGAUGCCUAGGGGUUCUGAGAGGAAGGUCCCCCACACUGGAACUGAGACACGGUCCAGACUCCUACGGGAGGCAGCAGUGAGGAAUAUUGGUCAAUGGGCGGAAGCCUGAACCAGCCAUGCCGCGUGAAGGAAUGAGGCCCUAUGGGUCGU
rnacentral:rRNA from 1 species